rnacentral:piRNA from 1 species
UAGUUGGCCACGAUAUACUGUUCCAGUUGU